rnacentral:rRNA from 1 species
AGGAUGAACGUUGGCGGCGUGCCUAACACAUGCAAGUCGAACGGAAAUAGCAAUAUUUGAGUGGCGCACGGGUGAGUAACACGUAGCUAAUCUACCUCAAAGCGCGGGAUAACGUGUCGAAAGACAGGCUAAUACCGCAUAAGCUCACGCUCUGUAGAGGGAAGUGAGAAAAGGCUUCGGUCACUUUGAGAUGAGGCUGCGGCCCAUCAGCUAGUUGGUGAGGUAAAGGCUUACCAAGGCAACGACGGGUAGGGGACCUGAGAGGGUGACCCCCCACACUGGGACUGAGACACGGCCCAGACUCCUACGGGAGCAGCAGUGAGGAAUAUUGCACAAUGGGCGCAAGCCUGAUGCAGCGACGCCGCGUGGGUGAAGAAGGUUUUCGGAUCGUAAACCCUUUUCUGUGUGACGAGCAAGGACGGUAGCACAGGAAUAAGUCUCGGCUAACUACGUGCCAGCAGCCGC